AGUCCAUGAUAUUUUGUCAAAAUUAUCUUGACAGUCACUUUACACAGCUCAUACAUAUUUUUCUGUAUAGAUACCCAUAUCUAUACCUUAUCUUCAAUGAUUUGGUUUAGUGCAGAAGUAUCUGAAUUGAUCAAUGUGAUCAAUAGUUAUCCUGCUUUCCACUCUCCAGAGAAUGGAUUUGGAAAAGAACAUCUGUUUCCAUGACUGAUAAACAACAUUCAAGUACUUCUUUUUUUUUUUUUUUUAAUUACCUGAACUUUGCCAACCUUCUUGCAAAUGGUUGAGCAUAUGUAGAAGCUUUUGUGUAUCCAUAACCAGAGUAAAUACAGUUUUAAAAAAGUCUUUGGGAUGAUAAAUACAAAAUGGAUCUGGUAAGAGUGGGGAAAAAUAACAGGGGAGACCAUGCGAGUUAAAUCGGUUCAGUUAUAAUUCAAAGUUAAGGGAAGAGGGCAUAUGGAAUAACUUGGUUUUCUGCUGUUGAAAAUGAUGGAUUAAUUGAAAUUUUGACUCAAUCUAGCUUCCUCUGAGCUUUUAUUUAAGCAUGACACAACGUAAUAGCCUUGUAUUUGCUUUUUGAUUUAAUGUUUUAUAUUCAUCUAGCUUAUUUUCCCCUGCUACGUUCAUUCACUUAAACUCUUGUGUAGUCAUUAGUUCCUUCAUAUUAAGCACUUCCAUACAUGUGACAUUGUUCCACAUUUACUGUAUGAUUUCAAUAUCAGUUUUGUUUGGCUGUAAAGGUUUUUGACCAUCAGACUCAAUUAUACUCUCAGAUACAACUGCGUAACCUCACUAACUUCAGGUUGGGCAUGGCACCUUUUCUAAAAGCUUAGUGUUAAUCCUGAUUUUUCACACUGUCGCCAG